rnacentral:misc_RNA from 1 species
AGCAGCCGCGGUAAUUCCAGCUCCAAUAGCGUAUAUUAAAGUUGUUGCAGUUAAAAGCUCGUAGUUGAAUUUCGGGAUCAAUUAAUCGGUCGUGCCUCUGGUACGCACUGGUUUUAUUGGUUUCUCCCUUCUGACGAACCAGGAUGUCAUUAAUUUGGUGUCUUGGAGAAUCAGGACUGUUACUUUGAAAAAUUGAGUGUUUAAAGCAGGCUUCUAGGCAUGAAUACAUUAGCAUGGAAUAAUGAAAUAGGACGUUUGAUCCUAUUUUGUGGUUUCUAGGAUCGACGUAAUGAUUAAUAGGGAUAGUUGGGG